UUGGAGGGCAAGUCUGGUGCCAGCAGCCGCGGUAAUUCCAGCUCCAAUAGCGUAUAUUAAAGUUGCUGCAGUUAAAAAGCUCGUAGUUGAAUUUUGGGACCAAUAUGUCAGUCGUACCUUGGUACGUACUGGCAUCGUUGGUUUCUCACUUCUGACGAACCAUGAUGUCAUUUAUUUGGUGUCGUGGGGAAUCAGGACUGUUACUUUGAAAAAAUUAGAGUGUUUAAAGCAGGCUCACGCUUGAAUACAUUAGCAUGGAAUAAUGAAAUAAGACGUUUAAUUAUAUUUUGUUGGUUUCUAGGAUCGAUGUAAUGAUUAAUAGGGAUAGUUGGGGGCAUUAGUAUUCAAUUGUCAGAGGUGAAAUUCUUGGAUUUAUUGAAGACUAACUACUGCGAAAGCAUUUGCCAAGGAUGUUUUCAUUAAUCAAGAACGAAAGUUAGGGGAUCGAAGAUGAUCAGAUACUAUCGUAGUCUUAACCAUAAACUAUUCCGACUAGGGAUCGAAUGAUGUUAAUUUUUUAAUGACUCAUUCGGCACCUUACGGGAAAC
rnacentral:rRNA from 1 species